UGGUACGACAGUCGAGCCGACAAGGAAAAGUGACCUUUGACGAGGUAAAGAACUUCGCAAAGGUCUUUAAAGGGAUAAAAGUGCACUCCUGUCUGCAGCUGCAAACAAAAAGCAGGUACAACACUUUAGUCUCAUCUCCCAGAGAAGCACUCAACGUUUAAGUGGAGCCUCCACAUUAGCAGUUCACCCCUGGCCCUGCGUCCACCUGUCACGGCGGAGCAGUGAUCGAAACGUGCUGGCACGAGAGCACACAGGAAAUCCCUCCAACAAAACACCCGACAGGCUGGAAUGUUGGCACCGUGUUGGUACACAAAUCAAACGGCCUGUUCGACUCAGACUAAGCUCAGCGGCGGCCAUGUGACACCAAGAGGAAUGCUGGAGUGUGAUGUCGGGUCGGAGGGGGUCAGCCAGACGUGUGUGUGUUUGGAGUACACAGGUGGAGAACCAACAAGUUUAGCAGAGGUUUUUAAAAGGGGGGAUUUGGGGAGCAGCUGAGGCCGAGGUGCUAAUUCCAAACUGUUCAGCCGGAGAGAAGUGUGAAGGUCUCAGUGUUGAGGACGCCAGCUAAAUCUGAAACUCGGUGUCCUUAAUGUCUAGAAUAUUAACCAAUUUUCUAUCAGAUUAAGUCAAGAAUCUGUCUUUUAUUCAACAGCAUUAAGAGCUGUCAUCAGAAAGGAUCUGCUGAAAGCCAAGUGUGUUCCUCUGGAAUCUCAGAUCGCGGGAUGCUGAACCAGCACAGCUGUGAAUUGUGUUGAGCUGCGGAGUGAAGAUUGUGAUGCAAAUGCUUCAGGGAGCAGAGUCGUGAAGGAAUGCACCGCUGUCCAAUCCUCCCAGCUAUGCUGUGUUUUCUGCUGCAGAUCAGGGUGGAAAGGAAAUGAAAGAGAAAAGAAAUCUGCCAUGAAUCUGCAGCGGGCAUGCAGCACGGAGAACCGGGGAUUCUGCUGCUCUGGACACGACUGUCACUUUUAGAGCAUACUUAGGUGUUAAAGAACAUCCUGAAAAGCAUGUCGUUUGCCCCGCUUGUGUUUAUAAAAACCUCUUAGGAGAGAAAUUGGAGGACGAGGUGACGUUUUACCUGCAGGGACAUUCAUGUCUCAGUGCUGAGCGACAGCAGCGACUGGCUCAGCGCAGAGCAAGAACAAAAACGUGUCAUCCUCUGAGCCGUGCUGCAGUUUGAAUUGUUUUAACUCGGGCGCAGAGAUCUGUGACGAUACCCCGACAUGACCCAUUAAAAGGAAUCUCUCCCUCUCACACACACACACACACACACACACACACACACACCAAGGGCUCCUGCGCCUUUCAGUAAUGCAAGACUCUGAAAAAAGGACAAAUGUUUAUUUCCCUUCUGGAGAUCUAAUGAGAUCAUUAGUUCCUGCCACCUCCAGCAUCCUGCACACAUGCACCGCUCCGUGCUUCUGCUUGGCCUCAGCUCAAAAACAAAAGAUGUAAAUAUUAGGAUUUGGCCAUUAAGAACGAGUUGGAAAUGUGGAAAGAGCAGCAGGGCCACGAGAGGGGGAAGAAGGACAAGUGAGGAGAACCGGGAGCUGUGGCAGAAAAUCUGAGAUAUCCACAAUUUUUUACUUCUCAGCUCUCAAUAAUGAUGAGCUGUGGGACAAAAUGUUACCUUCACCUAUUCAAUACUCGCAUAUUCAAUAUCCACAGUAUACUUAUGAUUGCUAUUCUCAUAUGCAAUUGUUAAAAAAAAAAAAGUAAAAUAAGCCAAUAAGGAAGGUGGCAGUGUCUUUCCUCAGGAAUUUGUAUGAAUGAUUUGUAUAUUUCAACACUUACAG